ACUGUAAUCAGUUGCCUUGGAAAGGAAGGAAACACUGGCCCUUCCUUUAGAAGAGGAUGCUCAUUCAUGGGAACAAGUACUGCACAGAUUGUCCUGAGACCUGAGAUCAGAAUGUUCAAAUCACAGAUCCUGAAAUUCUCAGAUUAGCUCAAAGAUCCUGGAACAUACCUAACUAAGAACUCAGGGUCCAAAAGUUCCCUGCCUGCCGUGGCUUUUCAAAUCUAACACUCUUCCCAAUAAGAGAACGUUGAAGAUGGGAAGUCAAUUUGGCCAGGUUGGGAGUGUGAAAAUCAGUAAAAGGAAAGCUCAAUGGCAUGGCAUGGGGAGGCCAGCAGGGAAGCUCUCCCACCCAUUACUCUUCAAAAUUCGCAGACCACAGAAGAGAGGGAAGCCAUACUGUUUCAGCCACUUCACUCCCCUGCAGAAGUAGGCUUCCACCUUCCGCCUCCCCCCGGAGCCAAUGAAAGCCUACAACAUGUGAAGACUCGUUUACCCCAGUGGACGUUUUGCUUAGAAUAAGGCUCCCAACUUGACUCCCUUCCUCAGUAAGAGUGGUCCUCUUCUUUGUUCUGGGACCAUGCCUGUGGAUUUGUCUGUAGCUUGCAUGUCCCAAAUUAUGAUUCUCUACAAUUCCUGAAUAAACCCAUAUUUUGGCUAGUAAAAUAACUGUUUCAUUUUUAAGGCUAACAGGAGGUUGCACUCUAUGAAAUCAGCUAUACUCAAGAUACAGCAGAGGUUUCCAACCCAGAAGCAGUGCUUAGUUGCCCAAGUAAAUACAGGCUUAGUUGCCUGUAUUUCUAC